UAGAUUUUAGUUUAUAAAAACAUUAACUUGUCAAGUUAAAGAAAAGAGGUUUCUUAAAUCUAC
rnacentral:tRNA from 1 species